GGCAGUUGGGUGACAUCCCACCCUUUCUGCAAUAGCCCAUCCAGCCCCAUUACACCUAUCAUUUACCUAUUACAUCACAACCCCUACCUCAUCUUCUCCCAUUGCUGUUCAGACCCUCCACCUUUUUCCUUCUGAGUGGGUCUCUUAGAACAACCAUGACCUGGCUCCAAUGCAACAGAAUUUGGGAAGACUUUUUAUGGACCACCAUCUAAGGACCUGGGCCUGGUGUAGUACCUCAAUCCAAUUCUGAGAAUUCCAUUUGCCCUGAGACAAUGAACCUCACAUUAUAAAUGAUGGAGAAAAAAUAUCUAAGGAAGAAUUGAUACUUGAAAGGAUUAUCUUCCUCUAUUCUGCAUUUAUCUUCUAUGUGCCCAAGUUACUUGAGAGUUGUCUUCCUCAUUAGAAAGUCCAUUUUCUACCUUGGAAGCAAUCCUUCCUUUUUUGCUUUUCAUUGCAUCCCUAACCUACAGCAUAAAGUCACAAACAAAGCAAUAUCCGGUGACCAAUAAAUUUACCUCCUUCUUCAUAUGCUGCUAUCCUUAGACAUGCCAGAGAAGGCAGGACCACCUAAAGACAUUUUGGACACAGACUUCUCGACACUAGAGAAUUCAAGAGAUGAAAGGGACCUUAGAGAUCAUUGAUUCUGUGUCUCUGCCUAAUGGAUUCAGCCUCUGUGCAGCAGUGAUGCCAGGGUAAAUUGUCUCAAACUCAUUAACAUUUAAUUUUUUUAUGUAAUCUUCAUUUUACAUGGGAUGAGGUUGGGUUUCACAAUGGCUAGCCUUUAUUUUCACCUCUGCUUUCCAAGGAACAAUCUUGAAUGAUUCCGUUAGCUAUACAGAGGCAGGUCUAGACUUCAAAAAUCACCAUUUGGGGGGCAGGGGGUCUAAAGUCUCAUAGAUUUAGAUCUGGGAAAGAGUAGAGGUUAUCUAGUCCAGUGCUCUCAUUUUCCAUGUGAGAAAGUUGGUUCCGUGACUUGACCAGUGUCACACAGGUAAUAAGUAUCAGAGGUGGAAUUUGAAUCCAGUUCUUCUUUACUACAAGAAUAGUGCUCAGUAAACACUGUCACACAGCUUCUUAGUGUGCCCCAGGACGACUUUGUAACAGAUUUCAAACAAAACUAUAGUGAUUAAAAAAAAAAAAAGAUGGUAUCACUUCUUACCACUAGAUGGCAAAAGAUGACUUAGGAAUGGGCACCAACCUAGACUCCUCUCCAGCAAGAGGAUAGCAUUGUCCCCUCAGGUCCAAACUAGAUCUGCUUACCUCAUCCAUGGAAGACUUUUUACAGUCAUCGUCAUCGUCAUCAUCAUCAUCACUCUCCAUAUCUGCUUCUCCUGUAAGGUUUUAAUUACAGAACAACAAAUUACACGUUAGAAACCUUCAAAAAUUACAGGGAUAAUGUAAUAGGAUUUACUUUGGUUUUGAUUUGUUCCUGAAUUCAUUAUAGAGCCACAGGGGUUUUAUCUCUGACUAGAAUAUAAAUUAAUAUAAAUAUAUAUGUACUUAUAUAAAUACAAAUACAAUUCCUAAAGGCUUAGUUAUAGGCAUUUUCAAUCAUGUGACUUUUCUAAAUGUUAGGAUGAAUUUUGUGAACUUACUAGCAAGACCAGUUAUCAGAACAUGAAUAUUAAGGUCCUGGAAAAAUAGUGUAAGGAAUCCCAAAGAGCAGGAUAAAUCGAGGCUGCUAAGGGAAAUUAAAGGAAAUAAGAGUUUAAUUUCUUUUUAAGAAAGCUAUAUUGAGAGGGAAAAAAUAUCAAAGAAGGAAUAGGACCUAUAUUGGUCCCAAAUGACAAGAGAGAAGACCCAGCUGCUCACUCCUUAUUUUGUUUUUGUUUUCUCUUCCAAACCUUUGCCCUGGAAAGGACACCACAAAAAUUACUUGAUGGGGAUUUGGAGCCCAAGAUAAAUAGGAGAGAGUAAGAGAGCCCUGAGUUCCUGUGGUACUCCAUGGGGGAGACAGGGAUAGACAACAAUUGUUCUGAAAAGUAUCUGGGUGUUUUAGGGGACUGCAAGAUUAAUAGGAACUGGGAUGUGGGAUGUUAAAUAAAUAAAUAAAU